GUUUCCCAUAAGCUAUGUCCUUUUUAGCCCUCUACCAUAGUAAUUUUUUUUAAUAUACAACUUUUCUUUUUAAUUUUUCACUCCACAAAAGUUUUCACUUGAGAAAUAAUUAUCUUGCUAACAAAGUUAACUAUAAAUUAAAUAAUUUUUUUCCUCUGUAUAAAUUGUGCUUUUUUUAGGGAAAAAAAAAACUCCAUUGUUAUAUUUUUUAGAAAAAAAUAACAUAAUACUUUUAUUUUCAUCUUUUACUUUGUAAUUAUUUUAACUUAAAGAAAAAAGAAAUUUCUAUAACAAAAUUAAUUACAAAACUUUAUAUGAUAAAAAGGUUGUUACACAAAUUACCACGGUUAAUUAUUCCAACUUGUUUUACUAUAGAAUACCAUUACAAUAUGGACAUAUUCCCGGGAUUUCAAAAUUUAAAAAUAAUUUUGUUCUAAUAAAUAACACAUUUCCAAGCUUUCCACAAAAUGAAAACAGAAGUUUUCUAUGCGAACUGAAAGUGGAAAACAGAAAUUCUACAAGUAAACAGGCCGAAGCCAUUUUACAUUGAAAAAUGCGAAGCUGCUCCUAUACUUCAAAAACUCACAAUAAGGGAACUAACCUAUAAUAAAUCCACUGAAUUUCAUACCCUACAAUCCACCAACUGUUGCUUGUCACAGUUGGCUGCUUGUAUUUUCCUUUUUCUUUUUUCUUUUUUCUUU
rnacentral:misc_RNA from 1 species